AAAAUCCGUUGACUUUUCCAAAAAUCGUGAGGGUUCAAGUCCCUCUAUCC
rnacentral:tRNA from 9 species